rnacentral:lncRNA from 1 species
AUUCAAACACACAAACGUUUUAAUGAGUUCGCAGGUUUGUAAGGGCGAAACAUACAAACUUAUCAAUGUAAUCAUACAUUCGUAUCUAUAACAUAUGUAACAGAUACAAAAGUAUGAACUAUCUAUAUGUUCGUGUCUUAUCAAUACUUUCUUGUGAAUUCAUCAAGAACACAUGAGACAUGAACAACAUGAAGAACCUAGAAGAUAUAUAAACAAACUUACAAAUAUCUAUAUGUUCGUAUGAGAUAGUGAAACAAACGUACCACCAACGCCUACGUUCGUCCUAAUGGGUCGUGAACACAACGACCGCAUCGACAAGGAAAACGAAUGAAUUACCACGUCAUGCAUUCUUCUAGGUGACGUGAACAAAACAUUUGUAUGAGGCAGUGAAACAAAUGUACCGCCACGACAGGUGUUCGUCUCGGUGGGACAUGAACAAAACGUCUGUAUCUGAGACAAUCCAUAAAAAAUUAACAACGAACAUAAUGAAGAACAUAAAAAAUCAAGAACAACCAAAUCCAAAAGAACACAAAGAACAUGAGGUUAAAAGAUAGCUCACCUACCUUUCCGAAAUUUUUGUUUCUUCGUGCAAAGAUCCGUCAAAACAAACCUAAAUCGAUCAUCAAUUCAAAGAAAUCGAGAGAGAAAAACUCAGAGCAACCAAAACCAUAAAAACUCGAAGAAUAUGAAGAACAAGAGCAAGAAAUGAAGAUAACCCAUAUUUUCGAGGUUUGUUUACACUCUUCUAUUGUUUUUCUUGUGCAAAGAUCCAUCUUGAUAGUUCUAAGAUCCAUCUUGAAGAGUAAAAAAUGAAUUCCAAUCUAACAUUCAUUCAAAAAAAUUCAGAGGAAAAAGGGCAGAAACUAGAAAGAGAAGUGGAAAAAAGUUUGAAUCUGGAAAUUUUGAAUUAGAAAGAGGAAUAUAUGAGUGGUUAAGGUAUUUAUAAUAUUCAUUUCUAUUUUUUAAUAUCCUCUCGUAUGUUUACCGGAUGCGAACAUGUUUUCUCGUGUGCUUUUCGGAUACGAACG